CCCAAACAAAGUAAACCCUCAAGCUGUCUGCUGCCUGCUUCUGUUCCGUUUAAGUGUUUAAAUAGACACUCUAACCAACAAAGUCACUUUAUCUUAAUGACAGCAACCUAGGGGUACUUCCUCAUUGAAGACCUGCAAUAAUGGAAUGUCUUCAUAUUUUGCAUCAUCAAGCACUGUUUAAGGACUCUGAGCACUGUGAAUGCUUCUGACACAGAAUAACUGAAAACACAGCAUUACCGUGCAUGCACAGUAGGUCUCAAAUUCUUCUUUUUU